AUGCUCAAAUAAAAACAGCAGAACACAUUUAUCAUUAUGAAGGUCUCGUCUAUUGACAUUCUUAGAAAGAAAAAGACAUUACAUGCAGUCAUAUCCAACUAAAAUGGUAAACUGUCCUACACUCACCACUUUUCUGAGCUGGAAGACCUCCACCAUGUAAUCAAGAGAUGACAAAUCCAAGAGUUUGAAAUGGGGAGAAAAUUUAAAGUAGUGAAUCAAAGGAUUAAACCUUGAACAGUUGCAGGCUUGGAAGUUGGUAGUUCACUUUCAGCAGAUGCUUUUGGUGACUCAGAUAGGUGAACCUGUGCAAAGUCAUCCACCAUUUUUCUCUUUUG
rnacentral:misc_RNA from 1 species